rnacentral:rRNA from 1 species
AUACGUAGGAGGCGAGCGUUGUCCGGAUUUACUGGGUGUAAAGGGUCCGCAGGCGGACAUGUAAGUCGGUGGUGAAAUCCUUCAGCUUAACUGAAGAGCUGCCUCCGAUACUGUGUGUCUUGAAUGCACGAGAGGGCAACGGAAUUCCAGGUGUAGCGGUGAAAUGCUUAGAUAUCUGGAAGAACACCGGUUGCGAAGGCUGUUGCCUGGCGUGUCAUUGACGCUCAUGGACG